rnacentral:misc_RNA from 1 species
UGGAAUUGUUGGUGAUGCUGGUGUUAGAGCAAAUGCACAACAACCAAAACUCUUUGUUGGUAUGAUCUUGAUUCUUAUUUUUGCUGAGGCGUUGGCUUUGUAUGGACUGAUUGUCGGCAUCAUCCUUUCUUCCCGUGCUGGCCAAUCUAGAGCAGAAUAGAUGAAAAUAAUGUAUUUUCAGGUUUAUGAUGGAAUCUUUUUCAUCAUUGUGCUUGCAGCUUGAUAACCGAUGCUAGUCGUUAGGUGCAUCUUCUCUUUUCCUUUUUCUUCUCCUUUUCCUUUUCCUUCACACAUUGUGUGUUCCCCCGGUGUUUGUAGAUUUGGGAGCUGCCUUUUCCCUGUAUGUGUGACCAAGAGAACGUUCUCUCGAUUUUACCUUUACUGUAUUUUCCAAUAAUGAGUCGCAUCUUGUUGCUUGAAUGCUGAUACGAUUGUAUUAUUAUUGGUGGAAUGUAAUGGUACACCUGAAUAUAUGAAAUCCACCUUGAUCAUUG